UACAGAGGUCCCGAGCGUUGUUCGGAUUCACUGGGCGUAAAGGGUGCGUAGGUGGUUGCGCAAGUCUGAUGUGAAAUCUCCGGGCUCAACCCGGAAAUGGCAUUGGAAACUGCGUGGCUAGAGGGUUGGAGGGGGGACUGGAAUACUUGGUGUAGCAGUGAAAUGCGUAGAUAUCAAGUGGAACACCAGUGGCGAAGGCGAGUCCCUGGACAACACCUGACACUGAGGCACGAAAGCUAGGGGAGCAAACGGG
rnacentral:rRNA from 1 species